AACCUUUUGUAAUUCAUAAGCUUGAUGAUUGGGUUUUCACGUGUGCGUGAGAUGUGCCUCCCUCAAUCCUUGUUACGACAUCGGCACAUUAUCCGUCUGAUG